AUGAACGCUGGCGGCGUGCCUAAUACAUGCAAGUCGAGCGCACAGAUAAGGAGCUUGCUCCUUUGACGUUAGCGGCGGACGGGUGAGUAACACGUGGGUAACCUACCUAUAAGACUGGGAUAACUUCGGGAAACCGGAGCUAAUACCGGAUAACAUUUGGAACCGCAUGGUUCUAAAGUGAAAGAUGGUUUUGCUAUCACUUAUAGAUGGACCCGCGCCGUAUUAGCUAGUUGGUAAGGUAACGGCUUACCAAGGCGACGAUACGUAGCCGACCUGAGAGGGUGAUCGGCCACACUGGAACUGAGACACGGUCCAGACUCCUACGGGAGGCAGCAGUAGGGAAUCUUCCGCAAUGGGCGAAAGCCUGACGGAGCAACGCCGCGUGAGUGAUGAAGGGUUUCGGCUCGUAAAACUCUGUUAUUAGGGAAGAACAAAUGUGUAAGUAACUGUGCACGUCUUGACGGUACCUAAUCAGAAAGCCACGGCUAACUACGUG
rnacentral:rRNA from 1 species